rnacentral:rRNA from 1 species
UACAGAGGGUGCAAGCGUUAAUCGGAGUUACUGGGCGUAAAGGGCGCGUAGGUGGAUAUUUAAGUUGGAUGUGAAAUCCCUGGGCUUAACCUAGGAAUUGCAUACAAAACUGGGUAUCUGGAGUACUGUAGAGGGUAGUGGAAUUUCCGGUGUAGCGGUGAAAUGCGUAGAGAUCGGAAGGAACACCAGUGGCGAAGGCGGCUACCUGGACAGAUACUGACACUGAGGCGCGAAAGCGUGGGGAUCAAACAGG